GAUGAACGCUGACAGAAUGCUUAACACAUGCAAGUCAACUGUGGCGGACGGGUGAGUAACGCGUAAAGAAAUUGCCUCACGGAUAGGGACAACAUUUGGAAACGAAUGUUAAUACCUGAAACUGGGAGAGAGGUUUGCGUCCCAUUAGCAAGUUGGAGAGGUAAGGGCUCACCAAGGCGAGGAUGGGUAGCCGGCCUGUGAGGGUGAUCGGCCACAAGGGGACUGAGACACGGCCCUUACUGCUACGGGAGGCAGCAGUGGGGAAUAGUGGACAAUGGACCAAAGUCUGAUCCAGCAAUUCUGUGUGCACGAUGAAGUUUUCGGAAUGUAAAGUGCUUUCAGUUGGGAAGCGGUACCAACAGAAGAAGUGACGGCUAAAUACGUGCCAGCCGCCGCGGUAAUAC
rnacentral:rRNA from 1 species